UACGUAGGGUGCGAGCGUUAAUCGGAAUUACUGGGCGUAAAGCGUGCGCAGGCGGUUCGUUGUGUCGGCGGUGAAAGCCCCGGGCUCAACCUGGGAAUGGCCGUUGAAACUGGCGAACUGGAGUGUGGCAGAGGGGGGUGGAAUUCCGCGUGUAGCAGUGAAAUGCGUAGAUAUCGGAAGGAACAUCAGUGGCGAAAGCGGCUUCCUGGACCAGCACCGACGUUCAGGCACGAAAGCGUGGGGAGCAAACAGG
rnacentral:rRNA from 1 species